CAAGGAAAAACACAAAAGACUAUUUGACCAUUGUCUGCCACCUUAACUGAAAUGUAUAGAUUAUCCUAAAUAAUAUACAUAUUAUGUCACAUGGUCAGUUUGCCAAUUAGUAAAAUCAGUCAAAUCUUCAAAUAUACUGCUGUAUAAAUCAAGUUGUAAAAAAGAAGAUUUGGAACGAUUGCAAACACUUAACAAAUGACCAAAGAACACAGAAAUCAACAACAUUAGGUCACCGUACGGCUUUCAACUAUGAGCAAGGCCAAUACCGCACAGUCAGCUUUAACAUCCUCGAAAUGACAAAUGUUAAACAAUUUCUACAAUAAAACUAACGUCCUAAAUUAAGUACAGAAAAUGAACGAAAAACAAAUAUGUAAAACAUCAAUAAACGACAACAACUGAAUAACGGGCUCCUAGCUUCGGAUAGGCACGUACAUACAAAAUGUGGAGUUAAACAUGUUAACGGGAUCCCAACC
rnacentral:lncRNA from 1 species